GACGUAGGGGGCCAGCGUUGCUCGGAAUUACUGGGUUUAAAGGGUGCGUAGGCGGCUAUGUAAGUCAGGAGUGAAAGUUUGCGGCUCAACCGUAAAAUUGCUUUUGAUACUGCAUGGCUGGAAUUAGGAUGAGGUCAGCGGAAUGUGGCAUGUAGCGGUGAAAUGCAUAGAUAUGCCAUAGAACACCAAUUGCGAAGGCAGCUGGCUAGACCUGGAUUGACGCUGAGGCCCGAAAGCGUGGGGAGCGAACAGG
rnacentral:rRNA from 1 species